rnacentral:rRNA from 1 species
AGAUUGAUCAUGGCUAGGGAUGAACGCUACACAGGCUUAACACAUGCAAGUCGAGGGGAAACGAUAUAGAAAGCUUGCUUUCUUUAGGCGUCGACCGGCGAAUGGGUGAGUAGCGCGUAUCCAACCUGCCCCUGAGUAAGGGAUAGCCCAUCGAAAGAUGGAUUAAUACCUUAUGGUCUCCUUUGCAGACAUCUAAUUAGGAGUAAAGAUUUAUCGCUGAGGGAUGGGGAUGCGUCUGAUUAGCUUGUUGGCGGGGUAACGGCCCACCAAGGCAACGAUCAGUAGGGGUUCUGAGAGGAAGGUCCCCCACAUUGGUACUGAGACACGGACCAAACUCCUACGGGAGGCAGCAGUGAGGAAUAUUGGUCAAUGGGCGCAAGCCUGAACCAGCCAAGUAGCGUGCAGGAAGACUGCCCUAUGGGUUGUAAACUGCUUUUAUACGGGGAUAAGUCAGGGUCGUGACCCUGUUUGCAGGUACCGUAUGAAUAAGGACCGGCUAAUUCCGUGCCAGCAGCCGCGGUAAUACGGAAGGUCCAGGCGUUAUCCGGAUUUAUUGGGUAUAAAGGGAGCGUAGGCC